rnacentral:snRNA from 1 species
AAAGGAAUACUUAAUGACGAUAA